GACAAAAACAUGACAAAUAUGCGCAGUUUAACUGGAGGCAACAUAACAGCGAGUGUGCCUUGAGUGAACGGUUUAUAGGGAAACUCCAGAGAUCAUGAGCUUUGUCCCCAGAUGAGGCAACAGUCGUGUAAUCAGAUUCAUUUUGAUUAGCUAACUGGGGAAAACCCCGUAUACCUCACAACAAUCCAUGUGAGCAGGUUGGUGUGAGAACGAAGGGAAUCACGUGAUCUUCUGGGAGCAAAAUCAAGCAUUUGGGAUGUUUUUAGUCGGUAGAUGAAUAUCUUGUGCAUUUUCCUUUAGAUUGGCCUCCACAGCUGCUGCUAACAGAACGUAGCCCAUGUUUUUUGUAAGAUGAGACCUUCUUACAAGGGAAAAUAUGAACGACCCAUUGAGACCAUUGUGGGGAACUGCGUUUCUGAAGGUCUCAUUGGAUGGCAGAAGGAAAUCCACAGGAAGGCUGUGUUUUCAAACCUCUGUUACUCAUGAGACCGACAGGCCUUUCGUGGAAACGUCAGUUUACUGUGUGCAGAAUCAGCUACGAUUGGCUAGUUCUUCACAAUCACAUCCUUACUCUAGUGCUCAGUGAUUAUGGUCUGAGAUAUUUCUUGUAAAAUUCUGUGGAAAUAAACUAAAACAACAAAUGUUCAA